GCCAAUGUGGCAUAGUGGUUUGCAUUUUGGACUGCAACUCUGGAGACCAGAGUUCAAUUCCCCACUUGGCA